CCUACGGGUGGCAGCAGUGGGGAAUAUUGGGCAAUGGGCGCAAGCCUUACCCAGCAACACCGCGUGAGUGAAGAAGGUCUUCGGAUUGUAAAGCUCUUUUAUGAGGGACGAGCAGACGACGGUACCUCUAGAACAAGCCACGGCUAACUACGUGCCAGCAGCCGCGGUAAAACGUAGGGGGCAAGCGUUAUCCGGAAUUACUGGGUGUAAAGGGAGGGUAGACGGGAAGACAAGGCAGAAGUGAAAUCCCGGGGCCCAACCCCCGGACUGCAUUUGAAACUGUUCGUCUAGAGUGCCGGAGAGGUCAGCGGAAUUCCUGGUGUAGCGGUGAAAUGCGUAGAUAUAAGGAAGAACACCAGUGGCGAAGGCGGAUUACUGGACUGUAACUGACGUUGAGGCUCGAAAGCGUGGGGAGCAAACAGGAUUAGAUACCCUUGUAGUC
rnacentral:rRNA from 1 species